CACGUGGACAACCUACCCUUGGGACCAGUAUAAUCCUGGGAAACUGGGCAUAAUGCUGGAUAGGUCACAAUUGCUGGAAUGCAUUGUGACUCAAAGCUCCGGCGCCCAAGGAUGGGUCUGCGGCCUAUCAGGGUAGUAGUGGGUGUAAUGUACCUACUAGCCUACGACGGGUACGGGUUGUGAGAGCAAGAGCCCGGAGAUGGAUUCUGAGACACGAAUCCAGGCCCUACGGGGUGCAGCAGGCGCGAAAACUUUACAAUGCGGGAAACCGUGAUAAGGGGAUCUCGAGUGCCAGCAUAUAAUGUUGGCUGUCCAGAUGCUUAAAAAGCAUUUGUUAGCAAGGGCCGGGCAAGACCGGUGCCAGCCGCCGCGGUAACACCGGCGGCCCGAGUGGUAACCGUUAUUAUUGGGUCUAAAGGGUCUGUAGCCGGCCAAGUAAGUCCUUUGGGAAAUCUGGUAGCUCAACUAUCAGGCUGCCAGGGGAUACUGCUUGGCUUGGGACCGGGAGAGGUGAGAGGUACCUCAGGGGUAGGGGUGAAAUCUUGUGAUCCUUGAGGGA
rnacentral:rRNA from 1 species